rnacentral:rRNA from 1 species
GACGAACGCUGGCGGCGGGCUUAACACAUGCAAGUCGAACGGAAAGGCCCUGCUUUUGUUGGGUGCUCGAGUGGCGAACGGGUGAGUAACACGUGAGUAACCUGCCCUUGACUUUGGGAUAACUUCAGGAAACUGGGGCUAAUACCGGAUAGGAGCUCCUGCUGCAUUGUGGGGGUUGGAAAGUUUCGGCGGUUGGGGAUGGACUCGCGGCUUAUCAGCUUGUUGGUGGGGUAGUGGCUUACCAAGGCUUUGAUGGGUAGCCGGCCUGAGAGGGUGACCGGCAACAUUGGGACUGAGAUACGGCCCAGAGUCCUAAGGGAGGCAGCAGUGGGGAAUAUUGCACAAUGGGCGGAAGCCGGAUGCAGCAACGCCGCGUGCUGGAUGACGGCCUUCGGGUUGUAAACCGCUUUCGCCUGUGACGAAGCGUGAGUGACGGUAAUGGGUAAAGAAGCACCGGCUAACUACGUG